rnacentral:rRNA from 1 species
CAGCAGCCGCGGUAAUACAGAGGGUGCGAGCGUUAAUCGGAUUUACUGGGCGUAAAGCGUGCGUAGGCGGCUUUUUAAGUCGGAUGUGAAAUCCCUGAGCUUAACUUAGGAAUUGCAUUCAAUACUGGGAAGCUAGAGUAUGGGAGAGGAUGGUAGAAUUCCAGGUGUAGCGGUGAAAUGCGUAGAGAUCUGGAGGAAUACCGAUGGCGAAGGCAGCCAUCUGGCCUAAUACUGACGCUGAGGUACGAAAGCAUGGGGAGCAAACAGGAUUAGAUACCCCGGUAGUCCCUGUCUCUUAUAC